rnacentral:lncRNA from 1 species
AUGGUGCAGUGGGUUAAGUGGCCACUUGGGACACCGGCAUCCCAUAUCCAACACUUCCAGAGAAUUCAAGGCAAGAGACAGUCAAAGCACAGCUGCGUCAUCAAGCUCCAUCCCAUUGGACCCAUUUCAGUUCAAGGCAAGGAGCCACCAGAAGCAUGUGGGAACGGAAGAGGGGCCCUCCAUGUCUAUACCCACCGGCUUUCUGGACCCAGUACUCACACUCUGCUUUACCUUCGUGUCUAUCCUGAAUCCAUCUCUGCAUCUCUGCUCUGCACCCGGGGAAAGCUGAGAAAACGUUCUCAAAGAAAGAGGAGCAAGACUUUGAAAGUCAUUCUGAUGCGGUUGGGACUGCUUUUGGUUAGAUGAUUCAGCCCAUUUUUGUGGAUUUCCCAAGAUGCUUUCUGAAACUCUGUUGAAAAAUAUCUUGUAUGAUCUUGUAACAAAUUAAACAAAAGACAAACCACCAAGUGCUUGCCUGUUUGAGUAGGCUAACCACAAAACUCUGAUUCAUGGUGACCCGUGGUGGAGGAGUACAAGACCCGUAUCACCACUUAAAUUCCAACUUUCACAAACUCCGACCCAGCACUUUUUUUUUUUAGGGGCUUAAUGAAAGCUAAGCAGGCGGGUUGGCUACCUUUUUAAUAGCCCUGGAGUUCAUUAUAUAAAGAUGCUUUAAAAAAAGAUUUUAGGUAACAUGCGCCUUCUUGCUGGACUUUGGCAAAAUGCUUUAACUGCAUCCACUUGCACUGUUUUGCCAUCUUCAGUUUUCAAAGACUUGGGGGAUGGAAGUUUUUGUUGCUGCUCUUAUUUUGUUUUAAUUUUAGGAGCUAAAUAAUCACUUAAUAUAUGCUUUCCUUAACAGUUAACCAAGUGAUUCAUGCGUUUUGUUGAACUCUGAUUUUCUUUCCGACUGCACACACCCACAUUGCUUUGGAGGCUUACUCAUACAGCAAAACAAUAAGUGCCAAAUCUGUUUCUCACCAACCAUGUCCCUAGCCAGGCUUUUCCCAGCAGACUUCAUGCCAAUGGAAUUUCUAGCACACCCACUCUUCGUCCUUGUUGUUAUUGUUGUUGUUGAUGUUGUUGUUGGGUGUUUUCCUCUGGCCUGAAAAAGACAGAUAAAUCUAGGCUUUCACUUAUCUCUGGGCAACAAAGAAACAUAUAUUUUCAACACACACCGCCCUGCCUAGCUCUGUGAUGUCCUUUAUCCUGCCAUCACACACAAGCCACAUAAUGCACUCAUUCACACACAGCUUCCUGUUCUGAACAAUGACCCCUCCUUCCAACUGCCAGAAAGCUUAUUCUCCAGCCGUCUGGGAGAUGUCCUGUCCCUGGGGAUGGCUUUGGAAAUCUGAACUUGCGAUUU